AUGGACAUCUGGCCUCCUUCCAUGACAGAGAUGAGUACGACUUCAUCAGGAGACUCAUUGUGAGCGCUACUGGAACCAACACAAAAGCUUGGGUUGGAGCCACCAUGGCAAAUGAGGACCAUGUGUGGGCAUGGAUCGAUUACUCCAACUUCACCUACACUCAUUGGGGCCAAGGGGAACCAAACAACCCCAGUGUAGACAAGAACUGCAUGGAAAUCAACAUGAAUGGACAAGAUUUUGUCACCAAUGAAG